rnacentral:rRNA from 1 species
UACAGAGGUCUCAAGCGUUGUUCGGAUUCAUUGGGCGUAAAGGGUGCGUAGGCGGCGCGGUAAGUCGGGUGUGAAAUUUCGAGGCUUAACUUCGAAACUGCAUUCGAUACUGCCGUGCUUGAGGACUGGAGAGGAGACUGGAAUUUACGGUGUAGCAGUGAAAUGCGUAGAGAUCAUGAGGAAGACCAGUGGCGAAGGCGGAUCUCUGGACAGUUCCUGACACUGAGACACGAAGGCCAGGGGAGCAAACGGG